CCUGAGAACUCACUCACUAUCAUAAGAACAAUAUGGUAGAAACCACCCCCACGAUCCAAUCACCUCCCACCAGGUCCCAUCCUCAACACAUGGGGGUUAUAAAGAUUACUGUUGUAACCGGGCAAGCGCAAAAUCACCGCUGAGACAAAGACUAGGCCAAAUUUCAGGGUCUUUAUUACCGGCGGCCACGGAGGACUCGCGUCUCUCUAACCCGUGGACUGUGUCAUCUUGUU